rnacentral:lncRNA from 1 species
GAUAAUAAUCAUCAAAAGUGAUAAUAUUUUCACACAUUUAUUAUGAAUACAAGAUAUGUUAGAGAAAAAUUCUCUACAUUAUAUAAAUGCCUCGAUUUGCUCCUGAAGUAGCAAUAUCAUGAAGGAGGUUAUAAGCUAUAAAAAUUUGAUAGGUUUAAGGGAAAAUUAUAUUUUAUUUUCGAGGAAUGAGAAUUUUGAUCGUUAUAAGUAUAGAUCCAUUCUGUGGGGUGAAUGUGAUAAUAUUUAGAAAAACUUAUCAAUACAAACGUACACUUGAUUAUGGUGGUAUCACAACUCAGCUCCGAAAGAGGCAGAAUAAUUGAGAACAGUUAUUUUGAAAUCUAUUUCUAAAGUAGUAAAAUUGAAAUUUAUUCAUGUAAUAGUAAACCUGAAAUUUACUAAAGAAAAAAGUACAUGUCAUGGUAAACUUGGAGUUUAUUAGUAUAAAAGUUCAUAAAUUGCCAUGAACGAUUGUGACAUCCCAAAAAUAUGCAUAGUGAGUAUUAAACAUAUAUUGAAGAACUAAAAAAUUCUUCAUGAACUUUUAAUGUUGCUUGUUCUCAUGAUAAGUUGGUUAGAUCAACUAAUGUCAAGAUUUGAUCCCUCAAAAUCUGAAAAUUAUAAAAGGUGAAUAUGGGUCCACUCACCAAUCAUGUAAUCUAUUAAGAUGCAUUGAUACAAGAUGAUCACAUAUACGUUUAUUGUCAAUCUACAGUUUGGCAUUCAUAAAGUUGUUGCUCAAUAAAAUUGAGUUAAGAGUAUAAUUUUCAGAUUGUAUAUUCAAGACAAUUCAUCUUGAUAAUGUCGACUUCGCAUUGAAUGCCUUCGAUAAAUAGCUGAACCAUUGCUAAUAAGAACAAAAGCUUCAUGUGUUGGUUUGAAAUAUUAUAUACAAAAGUACUUGUAUGUAUCAAACCAAUAAUUUAUGAUUAAUUCCCCCUCAAAGUUAGUUCUGAGUCAGGAACCAUACAUUGUCUAUCUAAUAGUUUUGACGUGCGGUAUACAAUUAAUGAAUAUAUCAUAAUGCACAAAGAUGGAUUCCUCAAAGAAGAUGGAGGAUGUAUGUUAGUUUUUAUAACAUAAGGGGGAGAUUAUAAACAACUAUGAAAUAUGUUAGGAAUUAUUAUCAGAUCCUCAAUCAAAAGAUAAUUCAAGUCAAAUGUCUAAAGUAUCUCAUAUUAAGCUGCAAGUCCUCGUAUUUUGUAUUCCUAAAGGAUAAAGACUAUGCAUAUGAAUCAGUGAGAAGACAUAUGUUACAGUAAUACCUUACAUCUCGAGGCAUGUUUAAGUCAUCCCGGUGCAAUAGAGAACUUUUUAGAAAGAGGGUCAACCUCCCCUUUCAAUUUUCCUCCUCACACGUGACCACGCGACAUGAGUGCGCCGGGACCCUACCCUUUUAACCCAUCGGAGCCACUAAACAAGGACGAUAACCAUUUGGCAAUUGAUAAGGUUAAAAAAACCUCUUACUGUGAUGUAGUCAAGGAUGUGCAUCGGGACCCAACCCCUUACCCCAUCGGAGCCACCGAACAAGGAAGAUAGCCAUAUGGCAAUUGAUGAGGUUAAAAAAACCUCUUACUGUGAUGUAUUCAAGGAUACUAAUGUAAAUUCAACUGAAUCACUAGCAACUACCAUCGAGGAUGACCCCUUGGAUCCCCAGGAGGACACAGAGGAAUCAAUCUGUCUUACCAAGGAGGAUAAAUAGAGAAUUUGUGCUCCUUGGCGUUUCGUAGUCGUGAUCAAAGAGGUGGAAAGGAAAUUCAACCACCAAUAUCUAAAAAAUAAACUAUCAGAUAUGUGGAAGAACUAAAAAGGCUUUACUCUCAUAGAUCUAGGAUUAGAGUUUUACAUGGUGAAGUUCAACUAUGAGGAACACCGGUUGAGGGCCCUCCAACAAAGGCCAUGGCUUAUAUCUAGGGCUUACUUGUCAGUUCAUAGAUAGGAGCCCAACUUUGUGCCAUCUGAGUCUAGGGUUCAAAGCACGGCUAUUUAGGUUAGGCUUUCACAACUCCCAAUUGAAUUCUAUGACUUAAGAAUCCUAAUAAAAGUGGGAAAAAGGAUAGGCAAGAUAGUCAAGUUAGACGUAUGCACUUCCUCAACCUUGAAAAGGUGUUAUGCUUGGAUCUAUGUCCAGGUCCCUCCGGACACUCAGGUGAAAUCCUUAAUAGUCGUAGGAAAACACAAGUAAGCAAUUCACUACGAAGGUGAAGGCUUUCUCUGAAAAUAGUGUGGACGUCUUGGCCACACUUUAUCCAGCUGCACAUUCUUGCAACCUCACAAGGCCUAACCAAAAGAAUAAGACCAGUCGAGGCUACAGGGACAUCAGGGCUCAAGGGGGAAUGACAAACUGUCUCUUUCAUAAGAGGGAAAAGAAAAAGGAUGGAAAUAGGUAAGUUAGCCAUAGGAUAAGAUAACUUAGAUAAUUUUUCCUCCACUCGUAAUUACCUAGGUAAGAGCCCUAUCUCCAGCAGUCAUCAAAGGACGAUAAUAAGGGCAAAAGUUCCAAAGGCAUAAAGGGUAUGAAUUAUCCACUCAUAGACAGGCCUAAAUUCCAAAAUGGAAAUGAUGGGCCUCGAGCCCAUAAGGAAAAUCACCCAUAUGAAGGGUCCAGCAUUGAGAGGACCAACAGUGGAUUAAAAUCUUAGAAGAUUAAUCAACUAGGCCUUCCCAAUGGGUCCUCUCAAGAAAAUACCAUGGCUUUGGGUCAAGGGUCCAUAUGAGUCAAUUAUCCUAAUCCUCUUAAUUUCAAGACUAAUGGGGAUAUCUAUUCCCAAUAAGUAGUCAUAUCAGAGAAAAAACUGAGAUCCCCCUCUUGAAAUUUGGAACCUCCUCAGCUCACCAGUAAUCAGCUAAUGGCUUCUUCUCCUAGGAACCAAAAAGCUUCUUCAAGUCAAAUCAAGAACUUUGACAUGAUUAUGGAGAAAUGCACAACUAGCGGAGCAAAGUCAUCAUUACUAAGAGAUAGCAAUAUUAAGGUCAAUACUAAUCUAGGAAACUCUAAAAGCUCUCUACUUGCCCAUCCUUUCUUAAAUAUUUUGAGAAAUGGUGGAUCCACCAAAUCCUCUUCUCACCACUAUUCUAGCAUCGACCCUCACCAAUUUUAUUUUAGCUCUACUCCCAUGGACCACCAGCCAAAUUCCUGGCUGAAGAUGGGGCUGAUAGAGCAAACGGUUUUGGUUCAACAAGAAUGAAAAGGGGAAAAGAUCAGAAUCCUGAUUCAAGACCCUCACUACCUAGAUCAAGUGAUCAUGAAGGGGAUGAACCAGGGGUUAAUAAACUUUGUAUAGAGCAUAUGGAUGACUUCCCUUAUGAAGCUAACCAACUAAGCAUCCAUGGGUCCCCUAACUCCAGAACUGUUGAAUGCACAAAUGACUCUAACAAGUCAAUCUUUGCCUUUCUUCACACCAAGACUGGACAACCUGCUGUGGGAGGGGCCUCAUUUUGUGCUAGUCUCCGGAGGACCCAAUCAGUAGAAGAACCCUUUCUUAACCCCAACAAGUCCAAACCACCAUUGGAGAUGCUAUAGAGGGAGAAAACUCACGAGGCUCUGAAGGAAAAUAAUGUAGAGUUGGAAAGAAUUCUAGGAUCCUUAAGAGACCCAAAAACAAAAGUAACAACAUCAAAAAGGCCCCUGUAUCUCACUUUCGAGGAUGUGAUAAGAGAGAUGAUUAUAGUUUUAUCCUUUAGGAUCUCAAUCUCUUCGAUAUAGAAAUAGUUCUACCAAGUCCGCCCAUAAGGAAUUUCUAGAAGACAGAUGUCCCUUUUGAGCAGGUAGAGGAAAAUAUUAGGGGAUCUAAAUAUGCCCAACCCAGAGGGGAAGGACAAGGAAAUAAUGCAAUAACUUCUCCCACCAUCAAAAUUAAUGAUCAAUUACAUCAUUUGGAAGACUAGGGGUACCAGAAAUGCAGAGUUUAAGAGGCAUUGUAAGGCUAUAGUAGGUAUGUAUAAGUUUUUGCCCUCCUUGAAACUAGAAUGAGUGACCACAACUAGUUAACAGAAGAGCUAAGUUUCUCUAAGAAAAUCCAGUACCCUACUGUUAAAAACUCUUGUAGUUUGGC